CGGCGCCACGAGUGGUAACCACGUUUAUUGGGCCUAAAGCGUCCGUAGCCGGUUUGGCAAAUCUUUUGUGAAAUUGUGCAGCUCAACUGUACAGCGUGCAAGAGACACUACCAAACUCGAGACCGGGAGGAGUCAGAAGUAUUCCAGGGGGAGCGGUAAAAUGUUAUAAUCCCUGGAGGACUACCUGUGGCGAAGGCGUCUGACCAGAACGGAUCUGACGGUGAGGGACGAAGGCUAGGGGAGCGAUCCGGAUUAGAUACCCGAGUAGUCC
rnacentral:rRNA from 1 species